rnacentral:rRNA from 1 species
UGGGCAACCUGCCCUCAGCUCUGGGAUAACCCCCGGGAAACCGGGGCUAAUACCGGAUACGACCUCCGCGGGCAUCUGCGGAGGUGGAAAGGUUUUCCGGCUGAGGAUGGGCCCGCGGCCUAUCAGCUAGUUGGUGGGGUGAUGGCCCACCAAGGCGACGACGGGUAGCCGGCCUGAGAGGGCGACCGGCCACACUGGGACUGAGACACGGCCCAGACUCCUACGGGAGGCA